AUGAACGCUGGCGGCGUGCCUAAUACCUGCAAGUCGAGCGAACGGACGAGAAGCUUGCUUCUCUGAUGUUAGCGGCGGACGGGUGAGUAACACGUGGAUAACCUACCUAUAAGACUGGGAUAACUUUGGGAAACCGGAGCUAAUACCGGAUAAUAUUUUGAACCGCAUGGUUCAAAAGUGAAAGACGGUCUUGCUGUCACUUAUAGAUGGAUCCGCGCUGCAUUAGCUAGUUGGUAAGGUAACGGCUUACCAAGGCAACGAUGCAUAGCCGACCUGAGAGGGUGAUCGGCCACACUGGAACUGAGACACGGUCCAGACUCCUACGGGAGGCAGCAGUAGGGAAUCUUCCGCAAUGGGCGAAAGCCUGACGGAGCAACGCCGCGUGAGUGAUGAAGGUCUUCGGAUCGUAAAACUCUGUUAUUAGGGAAGAACAUAUGUGUAAGUAACUGUGCACAUCUUGACGGUACCUAAUCAGAAAGCCACGGCUAACUACGUG
rnacentral:rRNA from 1 species